rnacentral:tRNA from 1 species
GCCGAUGUAGCUCAGUGGUAGAGCAACGGUUUCGUAAACCGUAGGUCGGCGGAUCAUUCCCGCCCAUCGGCU